GAGUCAGGGACUAUGCCCCUGACUCGGGCUAUAUGGAGUCUGCACUGUAGGUUUUAGUUACUGGUUUCUUAUAACAAUUCAUAUAUGAUUGCUCAUUCACUGUCUGUAUCUUAGUUGGGAAGAUUCAUUUUUGACGAAGUUCCUUAAAGUCAACAUUUACAAUAUAAGUUUUUAGAAAUAAGCACAUCGAAGAAGCACUCAUCGUAAAAGUUACCAAAUUUGUCUUGACGUCUACAAAUCAGCCCAAAUUUCUAAACAUGGCUAUCGGGUUGAAGUACAUAUUUCUUCAGUUGCUGUUAUUUUUAAACUACAAAUACAUUGGUAAACGUUGGGAAGACGGUACCUACACCUUCUCACGAAUUGGUGAUGAUGGAAUCUACCAUUUCAUCGGCAGCAUUACAUGUCGAUAUCAUUCGGUUGAGCUGAAAUUUUAGAUUUUCGACAUUUCCAACAAACAUAUGUCGAAACGGUCAAAGUUAGUUGUAAUCAACUCAUUUAAUUAUGACACAUGCGCAUAUUGCUUUUACUGCAAAUCGAGCAAAGCAAAUUCCACCCGUUUUAGUCAGAUGACGCAAGGUCCCCAUAGUUUACAGCUUCGUAGCACUGAAACAGGGAGACGGUCCACUUAGGUUUCAACGAAAAUUGAUUCCCGAGGAUGCGCACUUCAAGCCUCCGCAAACCGUUAAGGUUUAUCGGUCCGGGUUUUGAAACUAUAAAGCCUAGAAAAUGACCUAAAACGCCCAUUUGGCGAGCGUCGCCAGUUGGCGCCGGGCGUUGUGAGUGAGCUAAUGACUUCAAACUUGGAAUGUAAACCACUUACACCCAGCGCUACCACCUCAGCGACAAUUCAGUAGUCCAGGUCAAAUGCUAUCAACCGGAAGGCCAACCACCCCCCCAGGGGGUGUGGCUUGCCCAAAAUCUGGGAAACCAACCCCCGACCCCCAGGAUCGUAUAAUAUGCAUAGAUGCGCGUUUGAGCGAGACACUGACACUUUGUCCACUGACACUCGGACAAAGUCGGUGGCACUGACACUUUGUCCACCGACACCCGACCACAGUGAGCGACACUGACACUGUGUCCACCGACACUCAGUGUCAGUGGCUGACACUGACACUGUGGACGACACCCAGUGUCGGACACCCAUGUAUAUGGGCACUGUGUCCUGUGACACUCGGACACAAUCAGUGGCACUGACACUUUGUCCACAGACACUCGGCCACAGUGGCUGACACUGACACUGUGUCCACUGACACUCGACCACAAUGAGUGACACUGACACAGUGUCCACUGACACUCAAAAAAAUUCUUGGCACCGACACUGUGGACGACACCCAGUGUCCGACACUGAGUGUCCGCGCAUCUAUGAUAAUAUGCUAAAACAGUUGUCAGAAUGGGUCUAGAAACUUUCUAUAAACCGUUACACAGGUUGGCCGCAAUGUGCACAGUUAUUGGCAGAAUAUUAUUACUGCCACAUAUUUAUUAACACAAUCUUGUCCUCUCUUUUUAUCAAUAAUUUUUAAAUUAAUAUCAUCAACUCGGGUUAGAAUAACUCGGGUUUACCCACGUCAAUCGACCUUUAGGAAGCGAAUUGCAAGGUGGAUCUUUCUGGGAC